rnacentral:rRNA from 1 species
AACGAACGCUGGCGGCAUGCUUAACACAUGCAAGUCGAACGAGACCUCCGGGCUUAUUGGCGCUCGUCGGCGGACCACGGGGGGACUAGCCCUUAGGUACGGUACACCUGCCUGUAAGGGGUGUUAAGACCGGAGAAUGUCAUCGCAGCAAAGAUGUCUGGCUUUGGGCUGGGCCCUGGUUGGAUUAGCUAGUUGGUAGGGUAAUAGCCUGUCAAGGCGACGUUCCAUAGCUGGUCUGUGACCAUGCUCCGCCACACUGGGAAUGAGACACGGCCCAGACUCGUACGGAAGGGAGCAGUGGGGAAUAUUGGACGAGGGGCGAAGGUCUGAUCCAGCAAUGCGGCGUGAGUGAUGAAGGCCGUAGGGUUGUACAGCUCUUUUAGCCGGGAUGAUAGUGACAGUACCGGGAGAAUAAGCACCGGCUAACUACGUG